rnacentral:rRNA from 1 species
CGGGUUAGUAACGCGUGGGAACAUACCCUUCUCUACGGAAUAGCCUUUGGAAACGAAGAGUAAUACCGUAUACCCCCUUCGGGGGAAAGAUUUAUCGGAGAAGGAUUGGCCCGCGUUAGAUUAGGUAGUUGGUGGGGUAAUGGCCUACCAAGCCUACGAUCUAUAGCUGGUUUUAGAGGAUGAUCAGCAACACUGGGACUGAGACACGG